rnacentral:miRNA from 1 species
UCCGAGGCUCCCCACCACACCCUGC